rnacentral:rRNA from 1 species
CCCGCCAGUAUUCUGGCGGGCAUGCCUGUCCGAGCGUCAUUUCAACCAUCAAGCCUAGUGCUUGUGUUGGGGCCCCGCGGCUGCCGCGGGCCCUGAAAACUAGUGGCGGGCUCGAAGUCGAACCGAGUGCAGUAAAUUUCUUCGCUUGGGAAGGUGACGAGUUCCGGCCGUAAAAAGCCCAACUUUAUCAAGGUUGACCUCGGAUCAGGUAGGAUUACCCGCUGAACUUAAGCAUAUCAAUAAGCGGAGGAAAAGAAACCAACAGGGAUUGCCCCAGUAACGGCGAGUGAAGCGGCAACAGCUCAAAUUUGAAAUCUGGCUUCGGCCCGAGUUGUAAUUUGUAGAGGAAGCUUCUGGUGAGGCACCGUCCGAGUCCCCUGGAACGGGGCGCCACAGAGGGUGAGAGCCCCGUAUGGAUGGACGCCGAUCCUGUGUGAAGCUCCUUCGACGAGUCGAGUAGUUUGGGAAUGCUGCUCAAAAUGGGAGGUAAAUUCCUUCUAAAGCUAAAUACCGGCCAGAGACCGAUAGCGCACAAGUAGAGUGAUCGAAAGAUGAAAAGCACCUUGAAAAGGGGGUUAAACAGCACGUGAAAUUGUUGAAAGGGAAGCGCUUAUGAUCAGAACUCGGGCCCGUCGGAUCAUCCGGUGUUCUCACCGGUGCACUCCGGCGGUUCUGGGCCAGCAUCGGUUUUCGCGGGGGGACAAAGGUCCCGGGAACGUACCUCCUCCAG